rnacentral:rRNA from 1 species
GAUCGAACGCGUGGCGGCCGUGGCGUUAACACAUGCAAGUCGAACGAAGCACUUAAGUGGAAUUUCGUUCGGAAGUGAAGCUUUUGUGACUGAGUGGCGGACGGGUGAGUAACGCGUGGGUAACCUGCCUCAUACAGGGGGAUAACAGUUAGAAAUGACUGCUAAUACCGCAUAAGCGCACAGCAUCGCAUGAUGCAGUGUGAAAAACUCCGGUGGUAUGAGAUGGAUCCGCGUCUGAUUAGCUAGUUGGUAAGGUAACGGCUUACCAAGGCAACGAUCAGUAGCCGACCUGAGAGGGUGACCGGCCACAUUGGGACUGAGACACGGCCCAA